rnacentral:rRNA from 1 species
UACGUAGGGCGCAAGCGUUGUCCGGAUUUAUUGGGCGUAAAGAGCUCGUAGGCGGUCUGUCGCGUCGGAUGUGAAAACCCGGGGCUCAACCCCGGGCCUGCAUUCGAUACGGGCAGACUAGAGUUCGGUAGGGGAGACUGGAAUUCCUGGUGUAGCGGUGAAAUGCGCAGAUAUCAGGAGGAACACCGGUGGCGAAGGCGGGAUCCUGGGCCAGUACUGACGCUGAGGAGCGAAAGCGUGGGGAGCAAACAGG